AUCAUUUCUCUUAGUAAUGUUUCCUUCCUCUGUUCUUUUUCACAGACUGGUCUUUUUGUCUGGAAUGCAUUCCCUUCUAACCUCCACCUGUACUCUCCAAAGCUUUAGCUUCCUUCAAGGCUAACUCUUCAAGAAGCGUAUUGUAUAGCCUUGGGCAAGUCACUUAACUCCCAUUGCCUAGCCCUUACUACUCUUCUGCCUUGGAACCAAUACAUCCGUAGUCUUGAUUCCAAGACAGAAGAAUAGAAUGUGAGGUCCUCAAAGGCAGAGACUUUUUUUUGUCUUUGUAUCCCUAGUAUCUACCUAACACCAGGCUUUACACCUAAUCGGUAUUUAAAAAAUGGCAGAUGCUGAAAUGAGUCGUUACCUGAGUGUUUGGAACCUUUCCAUUAAUUAUUACCAGCAGUGUAAUUUCUACCACCUUCUUCCUCAUCUAUUCAGAAGGAUCAGACUUAACCCAAAGCAGUGUAUUUUAAAGCCAAACUGGAACCAUAUUUAUUAUUCUCCAUUACAUAGAAACUGGUCAAGGAGCUAUUGCCAUCAAGACACCAGAAUGCUAUGGAAACAUAAAGGACUCCAGAAAUAUGCAGAGGACCUGACUGGAGAAUAUCAGAGGCUAGAUAGAUUGUUGCAUCAUGUCUCUGUGAGUGAUGGUGAUCGAAGGACCAUGAGCAGAAGACAUGCUGAGUUGGCACAAUUUACUGCCAUCUAUAAAGAAAUUCAAGAGUCUGAAAAAGCAAUUGAAGAUUUAGAAUCAAUGUGUAAAAGUUUGAAUGAACAGGAUGAGAAACAGCUACUUGAACUUGCUUUUGAAGAAAGAGAAGUGAUUGAUCAAAAGAUUAACAGGCUCUGCCAAGAGCUUUUCCAGUCUCUAGUGCCAAAGGAGAAAGAUGACAAGAGUGAUGUUAUUUUAGAAGUAACAUCUGGGAGAACAACUGGAGGUGAUAUCUGCCAACAGUUUACCAAAGAAAUAUUUGAAAUGUACCAGAGUUAUUCAUGUUACAAAGGUUGGAACUUUGAGAUCUUAAACUACACAACUGCUGACUAUGGUGGGCUGCACCACGCAGCGGCAAGGAUUUCCGGUGACAGCGUCUAUGAGUAUAUGAAGUACGAAGGCGGAAUCCACCGCGUCCAAAGAAUCCCGGAGGUUGGCCUCUCCUCGAGGAUGCAGCGUAUUCACACGGGAACGAUGUCGGUCAUCGUCCUUCCUCAGCCAGACGAGGUAGACAUUCGAGUGGAACCCAAGGACUUGCGGAUAGACACAUUUCGGGCCAAAGGAGCAGGAGGCCAGCACGUUAAUACCACAGACAGCGCCGUCAGGAUUGUUCAUAUCCCCACAGGACUAGUAGUCGAAUGCCAGCAACAGCGAUCACAAAUCCAGAAUAAAGAUACAGCUUUUCGUCUGUUAAGAGCUAAACUCUACCAGCAGACUAUUGAGAAAGAACAAAGUAAAAAGCAGAGUGUUCGAAAACUACAGGUGGGAACAAGAGCCCAGUCGGAAAGAAUUCGGACAUACAAUUUCACCCAGGACAGAGUCACUGACCAUAGAAUCUCUUAUGAAGCCCGAGAUAUUAAGGUAAAAAAAAAAAGAAUCCAAUAUGUAGCUUGACUGUUGGGCUAGCUGGAGGUAUUUAUGGAUUCAGGAGGCAGGAUGAGAAGAAUGGAUAAGUUUCUGGGAUCAGGAGGACCAUAAGACAUUCAUGGUGAAUUAUGGAAUUUUUAUGUGGUGGGAGACCUCUGGAUACACUGAUCCAAAGACUACUAGUGUCAGCAAAUGAAGAAGCCAUUGUUGAAUUUUUGGAUAAUCACUUUAAAUCUUCUAAAUCAAAGAACUGAAAUUGCCCCUAUUAGAAAUACAAAUAAAAAGACUAAAACUUGG